CGCGUACAGGCAGUACUUUGCUCCUCUUGUUGUCUUCUUCCUCCCGUCUCUUUCAAGUUGUACAAUCGCAGCAACAGAGAAGCAGGCACGCAUUUCUCCCUUUUCCUCUUCCGGAAUGGGUUGAAAUCCUCAUAAAAGGUUGCCUCCCCUUAAUGGUGAAAGGAGUUUUGAAGUUUGAAUUUGGGUGGGCCUCGUUGGAUUCUAUAUAUUCCCCCUUAUUCAUUGUAGAUAUGGGGAGUUUUUUUUUUUAGUUGGAUUUUGAUUUGAGAAAAAAUACACACAAAUAGCUUAAGCGAAAAUAGCUAAAAUACCUACUAAAUACUUCAAGAAAACAGAGGAGAACUAGAUUCGGUUAUCGUUGCUCGAGUCGAAACGUGUGGUGGUGGAAAUCAGUCGUCUCCAACUCGUUGUUGUCCCUGUUUGCUGCACUUCGAAAGGUAAUGUCUCUUCAUAAUGUUCUUUCCACCUCUUCUUCUAUUUCAGUCGCAUUCUGAUGAUUGAAACCUUUAUUUAGUUGGUUGUUGGUUGUUGGAUGUUAGUUGCUACAAAGUUUGAUGUUGUUUCGAUGAGGUGUUUAUGUUCUUAGUCGUUUUGCUGAGUCUAUUUCGAAGAGCAAGCUUGCUUCUUUAGAUUAAGUAUGCUUUGUUUCUAGUGCUUUUUAUUUCUCUUCAAAAUUGCAGACCCCCGUCCCUGUUGCUCCCUUAAAAUGUUGUGUUUUGCAAAUUUAUAUGCCAUGUCUUCGCUUGUUGGCCGGUUUGCUCGCUCGUUAGGCUUUAUUUUGAAUAGUCUUUAAGCAUUAUGAACCUGUUUCUUUGGACGUUAAUCUAAUUGAAUUAAGUUUGAAUCGUGAUUGUGAGUUAAGUUAUUAUUCUAUCUUGUUCGAGUUGUGUCCAAUACCAAUGAUAGGUAGUUUCAGUUUGGUUCAUGCUCAUAUUCUCAACCUUGAGUCUCUGAAGUCUGACCUUGUUAAGAAGUUUUCGUAUAUGCAUUUGUAGUGUUUUUCUAUCUGUAGCAUGUCACUAAAUUCGGGUAAUGCUAUCGCUUAAAUAUGUGGUUAUUGCUUUCAAAAUCAUGUCAGAUCAGGUCAUUGUUAUUCACAGUCCCUUAAGAUGAGUCUUUACCAUUAUUUGCUUAGGACUUAGUAUUUAGUUUACAUGAUUAAUGAUAACUCCUCAUGCCAAAGUGGUAGUCAACUAUUAAGGAUAUAUUAUUAGUCAUUGUUUCAUGUUAAGCAUUCAUUGCCCACUUUUGCUAUACUUUUCUGUAAUUCGUAGUUUGCCAUAUUAUCCGAAGUGUAGCUCAACUUUGGUCAAGUCCAACAAAUAUGUUCCUUGUUUAUCCUCGUGUGUUUUCAAUUUUAGUGAUUGUAUGCAUCCGUCCAGUGUUCUAAAAUAUUAUUUCCUAGCGUCAAAUUGCAAGUCUUAAUAGUCAUUUUAUUUUAAGACGAUUAAUAAUCAGUCCUUAUCUAAUUUUGUUUUAAGAUGUGGGUCGGUGUAGCGCACAUGUUACUUCCUCUUCUUUUUUACACUUGAAUGCAUGAUUCUGCUUUGCACAUGUGUAUUAUUAGUUAGUAUGGCAGUACAUUAAUUGUUUGUGACCAAGUGGCUAUUGGGCCCCUUAAUCUUCUUUAAAGUUAUUACUGUCCAUGUGUUCCUGUACGAUUCCCUUUAGUGGGGUUGUGUGUUCAUCUAUUAUUUGAGUCAGUGGAUAUUUCUCACAAAUCGAUUUGCUUCUUCUAUAUUUAUUUCAAGUCGAAUUAUAUAUUGACUUUUGUAUCCUUCUUCUCUUGUAUGUGAAAUUCACCCGAGUUCGCUACGAACUCCUACCUUCUUUCUUGCAUUUCGGGAGAGCCAUAAAGGCUCAAAUUCCUCCCUUUAUCGAGUCAUCCAUCCAUUAAAAUCAAAGAACAGGUCCCUCAAAAUCGACGAACAGGUCCCGGAGUUUAAAGAAUAUGCAGUGGAUCAAAAAAUUGAAAAGAGUGUGCUAAAGGUCUACUCUUAAUUCCAGAAGUUGUAUUUUGUUACCUUUGGGCCUAAGCCCACUUAUUUGCUAUUAUCUUGUUAGAUCCUAGGACAGGUGGAAUUGGGCCUAAGGCCCGAUACAAAUUAGAUUUUCUAAAACAUGUACCAAGUAUUGGGCCAAAGGCCCAAAAACCAAAUUACGCCUAAGUGUUGAUCCAGGCGAAUAGAAAAUCAAACUUGGGCCCAACACCCUCUCUCUUUAUUUUAUCCAUUUCUUCAUAUUUGUUUAAUUGUUUACUUGCUAAAUUAAUUUUAAGGUUCCUUAAUUCAAUUCCCCAAAGGAUGAACCAACUAUAUCUUUAAAAACAAACAAGCAUAUUUCAUUUGACUUUAGAAUAUCUAGUAUUUAAGUAAUAUUCCUAUUCUAUCCCCCC
rnacentral:lncRNA from 1 species